rnacentral:tRNA from 1 species
GUACUUGUGGUGUAGUGGUUAUCACAUCCGCUUUACACGCGGAAGAUCCCAGGUUCGAUACCUGGCAGGCACA